rnacentral:misc_RNA from 1 species
AUGCUUGAUCAUCAACCUUCCCAACAACACAAAAGAAUUCAAACAAAUCAAACAAACAAUACCUUAGGUAUUUUAAAGACUAAACUCACUACAGUACAUAUCAUUUCUUUUUUCAUAUUUAUUUAUUUACUUAGUUUCAAAUAUUAAUAAAAAGAGGCAACAUGAUGAAGAUAUUAGUCAAAUAAUUUGUUCCUUUUGCGCCACAAUAUUCUUCUCAUAGUAUGCAAUCUCUUCACAGAUUCAAACAAGAAAUAACCAAUGAUACAACUUCAAAUGACAAAAUUGCCUAGAAAUAGCACUACACUUGGCUUUGUGGCUUCUUGUUCCAUUGGAUUUCAUUCACUUUAAACAACUAUCAAAGCUACUUUUCUAUUCAAGCGCCUUUAUAUAAUCAUUUAACUUAGUAGAAGUUGAUAGAUACA